AGCAUAUCAAUAAGCGGAGGAAAAGAAACCAACAGGGAUUGCCCUAGUAACGGCGAGUGAAGCGGCAACAGCUCAAAUUUGAAAUCUGGCGUCUUUGGCGUCCGAGUUGUAAUUUGCAGAGGGCGCUUUGGCAUUGGCAGCGGUCCAAGUUCCUUGGAACAGGACGUCACAGAGGGUGAGAAUCCCGUACGUGGUCGCUAGCCUUUACCGUGUAAAGCCCCUUCGACGAGUCGAGUUGUUUGGGAAUGCAGCUCUAAAUGGGAGGUAAAUUUCUUCUAAAGCUAAAUACUGGCCAGAGACCGAUAGCGCACAAGUAGAGUGAUCGAAAGAUGAAAAGCACUUUGGAAAGAGAGUUAAAAAGCACGUGAAAUUGUUGAAAGGGAAGCGCUUGCAGCCAGACUUGCCUGUAGUUGCUCAUCCGGGUUUCUACCCGGUGCACUCUUCUAUAGGCAGGCCAGCAUCAGUUUGGGCGGUUGGAUAAAGGUCUCUGUCAUGUACCUCCUUUCGGGGAGAACUUAUAGGGGAGACGACAUGCAACCAGCCUGGACUGAGGUCCGCGCAUCUGCUAGGAUGCUGGCGUAAUGGCUGUAAGCGGCCCGUCUUGAAACACGGACCAAGGAGUCUAACAUCUAUGCGAGUGUUUGGGUGUCAAGCCCGAGCGCGUAAUGAAAGUGAACGGAGGUGGGAACCUUUCGGGGUGCACCAUCGACCGAUCCUGAUGUCUUCGGAUGGAUUUGAGUAAGAGCAUAGCUGUUGGGACCCGAAAGAUGGUGAACUAUGCUUGAAUAGGGUGAAGCCAGAGGAAACUCUGGUGGAGGCUCGCAGCGGUUCUGACGUGCAAAUCGAUCGUCAAAUUUGGGCAUAGGGGCGAAAGACUAAUCGAACUAUCUAGUAGCUGGUUCCUGCC
rnacentral:rRNA from 1 species